rnacentral:rRNA from 1 species
AAACACGGACCAAGGAGUCUAACAUGUGCGCGAGUCAUUGGGUUGUUAAACCCAGAGGCGCAAUGAAAGUGAAGGCCUCGCCUCGCGCGGGCCGAGGGAAGACGGAGCUCCGGUGCCAAGCCGGGGCCCCUGCAUUCCCGGGGCGUCUUGUCCACUCCGUGGAGAGGCGCACCCAGAGCGUACACGUUGGGACCCGAAAGAUGGUGAACUAUGCCUGGUCAGGACGAAGACAGGGGAAACCCUGUUGGAGGUCCGUAGCGAUUCUGACGUGCAAAUCGAUCGUCGGAACUGGGUAUAGGGGCGAAAGACUAAUCGAACCAUCUAGUAGCUGGUU